CACUUUCUGUAUAACAGUACUGCGACCGAUAGCGUCAUUUUUCUGUCGUGAUUAUGAAGGUGAUCAUUUCCUCGGAAAUGGUUUUAUAGCUGAUUGCAUGGUUAAAUGGUUUAUUGGUGAUUGCGAUUAACGGUUAUUGAUUGGUUUAAUGUUGAUGGUGCUUUAAUAGACUAAAAAUAGGCUGUUUUAGAACUGUUGAUGUUUUUCAUGGUUGAUGUGUUAAUCUAAAGUCUGCAGUGUAUGUAGGUUACUUACUCGUCCCGUCUUGAAACACGGACCAAGGAGUUUUAUAUGAUCGCGAGUCAAAGGGCCUUACGAAACCCCACGGCGAAAUUAAUGUAAAGGUUUGCUUCGGUAAGCUGUGAUGUGACCUCGUGGAAACACAGAGUGCAACAUCGACCCGUCUAAAGAUGUUCGCAUCUGGGCGGAGUUUGAGCGAUCAUGUAGAGACCCGAAAGAUGGUGAACUAUGCUUGUGCAGGUUGAAGCCAGAGGAAACUCUGGUGGAGGACCGCCGCGGUUCUGACGUGCAAAUCGAUCGUCGGACAUGAGUAUAGGGGCGAAAGACUAAUCGAACCAUCUAGUAGCUGGUUCCCUCCGAAGUUUCCCUCAGGAUAGCUGACAUUUGUUGUUGUAGUUUUACCUGGUAAAGCGAAUGAUUAGAAGUAUUGGGGACGAAAUGUUCUCAACUUAUUCUCAAACUUUAAAUGGGUUCGAAGUGCGUCUUUCUUCAUUGAAGAUGUGCAUCGAAUACAAAUGUCUAGUGGGCCAUUUUUGGUAAGCAGAACUGGCGAUGUGGGAUGAACCAAACAUCUGGUUAAGGUGCCUAACAUAACGCUCAUGAGAACCCACAAAAGGUGUUGUUUGAUAAAGACAGCAGGACGGUGGACAUGGAAGUCGUCAUCCGCUAAGGAGUGUGUAACAACUCACCUGCCGAAUCAACCAGCCCUGAAAAUGGAUGGCGCUGUAGCGUUGGACCUAUACCGGAUCGAUAUCGCAAGUUACAAAACGAGUAAGCGAUAUCGU
rnacentral:rRNA from 1 species